rnacentral:rRNA from 1 species
AUUGAACGCUGGCGGCAGGCCUAACACAUGCAAGUCGAGCGGAGCGACGGACGGGUGAGUAAUGCCUAGGAAGCUGCCUGCUUGUGGGGGAUAACGUCCGGAAAGGGGCGCUAAUACCGCAUACUAUCAGAUGAGCCUAGGUGGGAUUAGCUAGUUGGUGGGGUAAAGGACUACCAAGGCGACGAUCCGUAACUGGUCUGAGAGGAUGAUCAGGCACACUGGAAUUGAGACACGGUCCAGACUCCUACGGGAGGCAGCAGUGGGGAAUAUUGGACAAUGGGCGAAAGCCUGAUACAGCCAUGCCGCGUGUGUGAAGAAGGUCUUCGGGUUGUAAAGCACUUUAAGUUGGGAGGCGUUACCAACAGAAUAAGCACCGGCUAACUUCGUGCCAGCAGCCGCGGUAAUUC